rnacentral:rRNA from 1 species
AGGACGAACGCUGGCGGCGUGCUUAACACAUGCAAGUCGAGCGGUAAGGCCUUUCGGGGUACACGAGCGGCGAACGGGUGAGUAACACGUGGGUGAUCUGCCCUGCACUUCGGGAUAAGCCUGGGAAACUGGGUCUAAUACCGGAUAUGACCUCCUAUCGCAUGGUGGGUGGUGGAAAGAUUUAUCGGUGCAGGAUGGGCCCGCGGCCUAUCAGCUUGUUGGUGGGGUAAUGGCCUACCAAGGCGACGACGGGUAGCCGACCUGAGAGGGUGACCGGCCACACUGGGACUGAGACACGGCCCAGACUCCUACGGGAGGCAGCAGUGGGGAAUAUUGCACAAUGGGCGAAAGCCUGAUGCAGCGACGCCGCGUGAGGGAUGACGGCCUUCGGGUUGUAAACCUCUUCAGCAGGACGAAGCGCAAGUGACGGCACCUGCCAGAAGAAGCACCGGCUAACUACGUACCAGCAGCCGC